rnacentral:rRNA from 1 species
ACGCUGGCCGCGUGCCUAAUACUUGCAAGUCGAGCGGACAGAUGGGAGCUUGCUCCCUGAUGUUAGCGGCGGACGGGUGAGUAACACGUGGGUAACCUGCCUGUAAGACUGGGAUAACUCCGGGAAACCGGGGCUAAUACCGGAUGGUUGUUUGAACCGCAUGGUUCAGACAUAAAAGGUGGCUUCGGCUACCACUUACAGAUGGACCCGCGGCGCAUUAGCUAGUUGGUGAGGUAACGGCUCACCAAGGCAACGAUGCGUAGCCGACCUGAGAGGGUGAUCGGCCACACUGGGACUGAGACACGGCCCAGACUCCUACGGGAGGCAGCAGUAGGGAAUCUUCCGCAAUGGACGAAAGUCUGACGGAGCAACGCCGCGUGAGUGAUGAAGGUUUUCGGAUCGUAAAGCUCUGUUGUUAGGGAAGAACAAGUGCCGUUCAAAUAGGGCGGCACCUUGACGGUACCUAACCAGAAAGCCACGGCUAACUACGUGCCAGCAGCCGCGGUAAUACGUAGGUGGCAAGCGUUGUCCGGAAUUAUUGGGCGUAAAGGGCUCGCAGG